AUUGAACGCUGGCGGAAUGCUUACACAUGCAAGUCGAACGGCAGCACGGACUUCGGUCUGGUGGCGAGUGGCGAACGGGUGAGUAAUACAUCGGAACGUGCCCAGUCGUGGGGGAUAACGUAGCGAAAGCUACGCUAAUACCGCAUACGAUCUAAGGAUGAAAGCGGGGGACCGUAAGGCCUCGCGCGAUUGGAGCGGCCGAUGGCAGAUUAGGUAGUUGGUGGGGUAAAGGCUCACCAAGCCGACGAUCUGUAGCUGGUCUGAGAGGACGACCAGCCACACUGGGACUGAGACACGGCCCAGACUCCUACGGGAGGCAGCAGUGGGGAAUUUUGGACAAUGGGCGCAAGCCUGAUCCAGCCAUUCCGCGUGCAGGAUGAAGGCCCUCGGGUUGUAAACUGCUUUUGUACGGAACGAAAAGGCUCUGGUUAAUACCUGGGGCUCAUGACGGUACCGUAAGAAUAAGCACCGGCUAACUACGUGCCUGCCGCCGCUGUAA
rnacentral:rRNA from 1 species